CCGGUUGAUCCCGCCGGACCUAACUGCUAUCGGAUUAGGAUUAAGCCAUGCGAGUUUCACAUUUCUUGACUAUGUAAGAAGUGUGGCGGACGGCUCAGUAACACGUAGCUAAUCUACCCUAAAGUCUAAGAUAAACCCGGGAAACUGGGCAUAAUAUUUGAUAUAUCAAAUAUCCUGGAAUGGUUUUUGGUAUAAAGAUAAUUAAUACAUGUUUUGAUUAUUGCUCUAGGAUGAGACUGCGUCCGAUCAGGUUGUUGGUGGGGUAAUGGCCCACCAAGCCUAUAACCGGUACGGGCUUUGAAAGAAGUUGCCCGGAGAUGGACACUGAGAUAAGGGUCUAGGCCCUACGGGGCGCAGCAGGCGCGAAAACUUCGCAAUGCGCGAAAGCGUGACGAGGCUAUUCCGAGUGCUAUCCUUUUUUGGAUGGCUUUUGCUAGGUGUAGAUAGCCUAGAGAAUAAGGGGGGGGCAAGUCUGGUGUCAGCCGCCGCGGUAAUACCAGCUCCUCGAGUGGUUAGGACGUUUAUUGGGCCUAAAGCAUCCGUAGCCGGUUUUAUUGGUCUUCUAUUAAAUCUAAUAGCUUAACUAUUUGACUGUAGGGGAUACCAUAAGACUAGGAGGCGGGAGAGGCGGACGGUAUUUUGUGGGUAGGGGUAAAAUCCUUUGAUCCAUAGAGGACCACCAGUGGCGAAGGCGGUCCGCCAGAACGCGCUCGACGGUGAGGGAUGAAAGCUGGGGGAGCGAACCGGAUUAGAUACCCGGGUAGUCCCAGCUGUAAACGAUGCAAGCUAGGUGGAUGGGAUGAUUUAAGUUAUCCCUGUGCCGCAGGAAAGCCGUUAAGCUUGCCGCCUGGGGAGUACGGUCGCAAGACUGAAACUUAAAGGAAUUGGCGGGGGAGCA
rnacentral:rRNA from 2 species